rnacentral:rRNA from 1 species
UACGGAGGGGGCUAGCGUUGUUCGGAAUUACUGGGCGUAAAGGGCUCGUAGGCGGCCAACUAAGUCAGACGUGAAAUCCCUCGGCUUAACCUGGGAACUGCAUCCGAUACUGGAUGGCUUGAAUCCGGGAGAGGGAUGCAGAAUUCCAGGUGUAGCGGUGAAAUGCGUAGAUAUCUGGAGGAAUACCGGUGGCGAAGGCGGCAUCCUGGACCGACAUUGACGCUGAGGAGCGAAAGCUAGGGGAGCAAACGGG